AGUGUGUGAGAAAAUAAUCAUUUAUAAAAUGUCGAAAAAUUUCAUGAAAAAAAGUCAUAGUCUGUCUAUAAUUCAUCCCGAUCAGUCAGGGUUUUAUCUCCAGGCGACAACUCUCUGGUAACCUACAGCUACGGUUCAGGAAGGGGCUACGGUGUAUAAGGGAUCUUUUUCAAAACGAUAACUUAAUGUCUUUUGAGCACAUUGUUAGAGAACAUGACAUACCUAGUGUCUAGUCUUCCCAUCUCGCCCAAUAGAUGUUUGGAUUGAGGAAUCUUUAGAUUGUGGUCAGAUAUCUAGAUUGUUCAGUGAAAUUCAAAGGGUGGCAUCGCCUUCACUGAACCAUCUCAGGGAACAAUGGGGUAAAGACUUUGGAGCUGAUUUUUCAGAUAAAGUUUGGCGGUUUGCAAUUGAAUAGAUCCAUUCACCAUCCAUCUGUAUAAGACAUGGAUUAUUACAAUUUAAGAUAAUUCACAGACUCCACUUCUCAAAAAGCAAACUCGUAAAGAUGUUCCCAGGAACGGACCCAACUUGCUCCUGUUGCCAUCAAGACAAAGCCACCCUUUAUCACAUGUAGCUCCUCCAGAAGUCUCACUGUCAUUGGUUCAAGCUGAUGCAUUGGCUUUUUCUUCACUACUGGCACAAAGGCUAAUACUGUUACAGUGGAAAUCCAACAAGCCACCAUCGCACAUCAUUGUCUUCCACCUGUAAAACUGUAGAAAAUAGAAUGGAACCCUAAAAA